rnacentral:rRNA from 1 species
UCGAGCGGUAACAGAUCCAGCUUGCUGGAUGCUGACGAGCGGCGGACGGGUGAGUAAUGCAUAGGAAUCUGCCCGGUAGUGGGGGAUAACCUGGGGAAACCCAGGCUAAUACCGCAUACGUCCUACGGGAGAAAGGGGGCUUCGGCUCCCGCUAUCGGAUGAGCCUAUGUCGGAUUAGCUAGUUGGUGAGGUAACGGCUCACCAAGGCCACGAUCCGUAGCUGGUCUGAGAGGAUGAUCAGCCACAUCGGGACUGAGACACGGCCCGAACUCCUACGGGAGGCAGCAGUGGGGAAUAUUGGACAAUGGGGGGAACCCUGAUCCAGCCAUGCCGCGUGUGUGAAGAAGGCCCUCGGGUUGUAAAGCACUUUCAGCGAGGAAGAACGCCUAGCGGUUAAUACCCGCUAGGAAAGACAUCACUCGCAGAAGAAGCACCGGCUAACUCCGUGCCAGCAGCCGCGGUAAUACGGAGGGUGCAAGCGUUAAUCGGAAUUACUGGGCGUAAAGCGCGCGUAGGUGGCUUGAUAAGCCGGUUGUGAAAGCCCCGGGCUCAACCUGGGAACGGCAUCCGGAACUGUCAAGCUAGAGUGCAGGAGAGGAAGGUAGAAUUCCCGGUGUAGCGGUGAAAUGCGUAGAGAUCGGGAGGAAUACCAGUGGCGAAGGCGGCCUUCUGGACUGACACUGACACUGAGGUGCGAAAGCGUGGGUAGCAAACAGGAUUAGAUACCCUGGUAGUCCACGCCGUAAACGAUGUCGACCAGCCGUUGGGUGCCUAGCGCACUU